GCAGCCGCGGUAACACCGGCAGCUCUAGUGGUAGCCAUUUUUAUUGGGCCUAAAGCGUUCGUAGCCGGUUUGAUAAGUCUCUGGUGAAAUCCUGUAGCUUAACUGUGGGAAUUGCUGGAGAUACUAUUAGACUUGAGGUCGGGAGAGGUUAGCGGUACUCCCAGGGUAGGGGUGAAAUCCUGUAAUCCUGGGAGGACCACCUGUGGCGAAGGCGGCUAACUGGAACGAACCUGACGGUGAGGGACGAAAGCCAGGGGCGCGAACCGGAUUAGAUACCCC
rnacentral:rRNA from 1 species